AUUGAACACUGGCGGCAGGCUUAACACAUGCAAGUCGAGCGGGGGAAGGUAGCUUGCUACCGGACCUAGCGGCGGACGGGUGAGUAAUGCUUAGGAAUCUGCCUAUUAGUGGGGGACAACAUCUCGAAAGGGAUGCUAAUACCGCAUACGUCCUACGGGAGAAAGCAGGGGAUCUUCGGACCUUGCGCUAAUAGAUGAGCCUAAGUCGGAUUAGCUAGUUGGUGGGGUAAAGGCCUACCAAGGCGACGAUCUGUAGCGGGUCUGAGAGGAUGAACCGCCACACGGGGACUGAGACACGGCCCAGAGUCCUACGGGAGGUAGCAGUGGGGAAUAUUGAACAAUGGGGGGAACCCUUAUCCAGCCAUGCCGGGUGUGUGAGGAAGGCCUUAUGAUUGUAAAGCACUUUAAGCGAGGAGGAGGCUACUCUAGUUAAUACCUAGGGAUAGUGGACGUUACUCGAAGAAUAAGCACCGGCUAACUCUGUGCCAGCCGCCGCAGUAA
rnacentral:rRNA from 1 species